rnacentral:tRNA from 1 species
GCGGGAUUAACUCAAUUGGUAGAGUGUCACCUUGCCAUGGUGAAAGCUGAGGGUUCGAGUCCCUUAUCCCGCUCCA